UGGGAUUUAGCUCAGCGGCAUAAGCACCUGCCUUGUAAGCAGGAGGUCAUGAGUUCGAUCCCCAGUACCGA
rnacentral:tRNA from 1 species